UCAGAAGGAAAGGAAUCAAACCUCCUCACCAACUUCCCAAAGCUGGCAUUUUAAUUAAA
rnacentral:tRNA from 1 species